rnacentral:rRNA from 1 species
AACAGCUCAAAUUUGAAAUCUGGCCCCUCUCGGGGUCCGAGUUGUAAUUUGUAGAGGAUGCUUCGGGCAAGGCCGCGGUCUAAGUCGCUUGGAACAGCGGGUCAGAGAGGGUGAGAAUCCCGUCCGGGGCCGCGCGCCGCGUCCGUGUGAAGCUCCUUCGACGAGUCGAGUUGUUUGGGAAUGCAGCUCUAAAUGGGUGGUAAAUUUCAUCUAAAGCUAAAUAUGGGCCAGAGACCGAUAGCGCACAAGUAGAGUGAUCGAAAGAUGAAAAGCACUUUGAAAAGAGAGUUAAACAGUAUGUGAAAUUGUUGAAAGGGAAGCGCUUGCGACCAGACUUGCGCGUGGCGGUUCCCCCGGCCCCUGGGCCGGGUUAGUCCGCCACGUCCAGGCCAGCAUGGGUCCGGAUGGGCGGUGAAAGGCCCCGGGAAUGUAUCUACCUUCGGGUCGACUUAUAGCCCGGGGUGCAAUGCGCCCCACCCGGACCGAGGAACGCGCUUCGGCUCGGAUGCUGGCGUAAUGGUCCUAAGCGGCCCGUCUUGAAACACGGACCAAGGAGUCUAACAUCUAUGCGAGUGUUUGGGUGUCAAACCCCUACGCGCAAUGAAAGUGAACGGAGGUAAGAACCCCGCAAGGGGCGCAUUAUCGACCGAUCCUGAUGUCUUCGGAUGGAUUUGAGUAAGAGCAUAGCUGUUGGGACCCGAAAGGUAAACAUCCACCCCCUUCUUUAGUGAUGACUUAACUAACUUGCAGCAGAUGGUGAACUAUGCCUGAAUAGGGUGAAGCCAGAGGAAACUCUGGUGGAGGCUCGCAGCGGUUCUGACGUGCAAAUCGAUCGUCAAAUUUGGGCAUAGGGGCGAAAGACCAAUCGAACCAUCCUUAUGACACGGUACAUCUCUGAGAGCGGUGCCAGGUGGUUAAUAUCCUGCCUUUUAGCUAGGUCAGUCCGAUACUUGGUGUCGGGCGACGUCAUCAGUCUUCGGGGAUGUCCUUAGGGCUAUCCGAAGUCGUCCCUACCCUGGGACGGCUCACAGACUAGGCAGUGACGGCCGGACCCCCUGCCUGGGGCCGGUGAUUAUAUAGUCGAGUAAAGUUACUGGCGUCUUACGAGACCCGUAACUUUAAACGCUGGUAGCUGGUUCCUGUCGAAGUUUCCCUCAGGAUAGCAGUAACGUUUUCAGUUUUAUGAGGUAAAGCGAAUGAUUAGAGGCCUUGGGGUUGAAACAACCUUAACCUAUUCUCAAACUUUAAAUAUGUAAGAAGUCCCUGUUGCUUAAUUGAAC